rnacentral:rRNA from 1 species
GGGNNUUUGGNCAUGGGCGCAGCCUGNUCCAGCCAUGCCGCGUGCGGGAAGAAGGCCUUCGGGUUGUAAACCGCUUUCGGACGGAAAGAAAUCGCCAGGGCCAAUACCCCUGGUGGAUGACGGUACCGUAAGAAGAAGCACCGGCUAACUACGUGCCAGCAGCCGCGGUAAUACGUAGGGUGCGAGCGUUAAUCGGAAUUACUGGGCGUAAAGCGUGCGCAGGCGGCUUUUUAAGCCAGACGUGAAAUCCCCGGGCUUAACCUGGGAACUGCGUUUGGAACUGGAAAGCUAGAGUGUGUCAGAGGGGGGUGGAAUUCCACGUGUAGCAGUGAAAUGCGUAGAGAUGUGGAGGAACACCGAUGGCGAAGGCAGCCCCCUGGGAUAACACUGACGCUCAUGCACGAAAGCGUGGGGAGCAAACAGGAUUAGAUACCCUGGUAGUCCACGCCCUAAACGAUGUCAACUGGCUGUUGGGAGAGAAAUCUUUCAGUAGCGAAGCUAACGCGUGAAGUUGACCGCCUGGGGAGUACGGCCCGCAAGGUUGAAACUCAAAAAAAUUGACGGA